rnacentral:rRNA from 1 species
UCGUGGAGAGGGAAACAACCCAGACCGCCAGCUAAGGCCCCAAAUUCCUAGUUAAGUGGGAAACGAGGUGGGAAGGCAUAGACAGCUAGGAGGUUGGCUUAGAAGCAGCCAUCCUUUAAAGAAAGCGUAAUAGCUCACUAGUCGAGUCGGCCCGCGCGGAAGAUGUAACGGGGCUCAAACUAGGAGCCGAAGCUGCGGAUUUGAAUUUGUUUUCAAGUGGUAGGGGAGCGUUGUGUAAGCCUGUGAAGGUGUGUUGUAAAGCAUGCUGGAGGUAUCACAAGAGCGAAUGCUGACGUGAGUAACGAUAAUGGGUGUGAAAAGCAUCCACGCCGGAAGAUCAAGGGUUCCAGUCCAACGUUAAUCGGGGCUGGGUGAGUCGACCCCUAAGGCGAGGCCGAAAGGCGUAGUCGAUGGGAAAUCGGUUAAUAUUCCGAUACUUGUUUAUAAUGCGAUGGAGGGACGGAGAAGGUUAUGUCAGCCUGGCGUUGGUUGUCCAGGUGAAAGGAUGUAGGUUUAUAGCUUAGGUAAAUCCGGGCUAUUCUAUACCGAGAUCUGAUAGCAAG